AGGAAGCAAGCUGAAUACAAGCCUAGAGAACAUGCCAGUGUGCUCUGUCUCUCUAAGGCCUCUGCUCCAGGUUCCUGCCCUGACAUCUCUCCACAGUAGACUGUGAUGUAGAAAUGUGACAUCUACCUGCCAGGGGUCUGAUGCUACCACGGUUCACUUCAGAGAAGAGGCAGCUGGCUACUUCUACACUACGUUUAUACGCUCAGCUCUGGUCACUGGACUCUGACCUGGAGAUGUGGUAGCUUCCCCGGAAGGCACAGAAAGCCUGACCUCCCCCUGGAUCAGAGCAUCCGUCAGUGGCUUGUGCUCGCUGACCUUGGAGCGUGCCAGUUUCCGAGGAGAGAUCCUGGGUCGGGGUGAGAGGUUCACUGAAUGGUGUGAACCAGAUACUGGCUGCUGGCCCCUCUCUAAGCCAGUGGGCUGGCUGGGGACAUCUGUCCUACUGGUCUCUUUUGGGUGAGAUACCUGCUACUAACUUUGCUAUGGCAGCAACAGAAGUCCACAGUCACAGCUUGGUUAACACCAGAAGGCAACCGUGUGCUUAAUAUAUGCCAGACACUG
rnacentral:lncRNA from 1 species